AACAGACCAAUGGAGCGGGGACGUCCAGGGAGGAAGGCGGGGUGGGGGCGGUGGCCAAUGGGCCCACGGCGUGGGCGGGCCGAGGCGCUCCGGAAGCGGGCAGGGGAAAGUGGUGGCCGGCUCGAAGUGGGAGUACGGCGACCUGGGCGGAAAGCGGGACCUGGCGGGUGGGUACUCAGCCGGGCCGGGCCCUCGGAGCUGCAACUGGACUACGUCAAGCAGAAGGUCAACUGCCACGAUUUCUCCAUGGUCGCCCUUUUUUCUGCGGCCACAGUACAGGACAGAUGGAAAGGAUCCAGAGUGCUCUGUGAAUAUGAGAUGCACUAUAUUUUCCAGAAAUUCCUGACUUUAUUGCGGAUGGAAUUUUGGUUUUUUCACCAGUUUUGCUGUGUACUGUGUGCUAAAAGCAAUGACCGCCACAGGAUCCUGUUUUGGAAUCUGCAUGGAGCUGAUGGUGACUAGGACCCCGGUGACUACAGGAACGUCCCAGCUAGCGGAUGGGGGUCGGUGGUUUUGUGUUGAGGACAGAUGCAGGCCCCUAGCCCUGUGAAAGCUAAGUGGAGGGACCAGGGCUGGGGAGGGAUUGGGAGGAGGAGGGGACAACUUGGCAAUUGUAGGAGGGGUUUUGAAGUUGUGUGGUAUUAGAAAGAACAUGUGCCUGGUGGCUCUGAGUAUACAUGGCAGCUCAGUGAAGUGUUUCUGGUUUUGCAGGCUGUGUGGGCUGCCUUUUGAAAUGGGUGAGUGUUUGAGGUGAGCUGGGUAAUGGAGAGGAGGCACACUGGGCUGGUGAUUUCUUGCACAUUCAAUGGUAUUUUUGUGUCUCUUGGUUUCUUAGGUACCACAAACAGAUUGGCUCUGGAAUCCAUGCAGAGAUUUCUGCCUGGCUUUCAGGGGCACGUUUCCCUGGCAGUCUGGUAGCAUCUCUCUGGUGCAGUGCUGCCAGCCAGAUGUCCCUCUCCCUUGGGUAGGACAGGAAAAAGCCCCCGGUCAAAUGAUGACUGGGCGUUUUGGAGACGGAGAGCACAAUGGUGUCAGUUCAGAGCUGGGCCAGUUAAAUUAGUGCCAAAGGAAAGUCAAACACUUUUAUAGUGUAUUUUUAUUGACUGUAUCUAAACGUACACAGAGCUUUCCAGGGAAAGGGAAGGGAGGAGGCGCUUCCCCCCCACCGGGCAGAGGGGUUUGUUACACUGUUGGGCUGAGAAGGUGUUCCAAGUGGCAUCAGUCAGUCUUAAUAGGGACUUGAAGCGUCGGGAGGGCUCUGGCUUUGGCAGGCUGUGCCGUCUUUGAAGCUGAGCUGUUUCCCCAGAAUCAUCCUGUAGCUCAGCUUCUGUCCUGUCCCUCAGUCUGAGGGAAUUCCUCUACUCUCUCCUCUGUGCUGUUUUGUUUGAUGCUGAACUACAGUUGGGGAUUGUUGUUUUGCAGGUGCUUCGUUGUCCACGUCUCAUGCUGCUUGAUAGCUGCCCCAGCCUGGGUUUGCAGCCAGUGGUGGGCCUGAGGGGAAGGGACCAGCCCUGGGUCUGGGCAUUUGGUGCUGUCUUUUUGCGGUGAAUAAAAAGGUGGGGGGAGGGUAUUUGGAGAGUGAU
rnacentral:lncRNA from 1 species